GCUGAGAUUAUAGGCACUCACCACCAUGCCCAGCUAAUUUUUUGUAUUUUUGGUAGAGAUGGGGUUUCGCUUUUAAGGAGAUUGUUCUUUAAGUAUUAAUUGGUGGCCUGCCAUUGAACUAAUGUUAGUGUAGUGCUGACAUCCUCAGCCACGGCAGAAACUUACUUGGCACCCCUGGAAAAGAGGGCAGGGAAGCAUAGUGCCCUGAAACCACCUCAUUCUCCAGUGCUACUUCCAACUCUGAGCUGAUGGUCAUUAUGAGUGGAUCUGCCCUGGACAAGUAGUUUAGUGCAGCUGCCUUGGACAGGCAGGUUAAAAGUAACAAACCGCCACAAAACUCAGCUAAUAAAAUGUCAAGAGAGACAUGGGGCACCAGGAAGGGGUGAGGCCUGUCUCCCUGUGUGCCAUCUGUGUGGAGCCUCAGUACCUAGGGGACAGCGUUUACACAGAGCCCCAGGUUUUUAAUAGCAUUUCCCUGAAUAAAAUGUCACUUGUGAGCUGCGGACUGGGAAGCUUUUUCUGAUGAUUAGGUUUUGUAAUGUGGGAUCAUCAGUAGGCAAGGUGGACCUGAGGGCUGUAGGAUCUGGAGACUGUCCAGGACGGCUUUCUGGGGAAGAUGGGCUUGUCCCGUCAGCAGUCAAGACACCAAAGAGAGUCUUUCUGAGAAUAAAAGACAGAAGCUUUUAAGGAAAAAAGCAGUUUCUCUCUCUGUUUGGGAGUUGAGUGCAUUUUCCUACAUUUAUUCGGAGAUGUUCCUUGGUUCCCACCAUGUGCCAUUGCCCCGCUAUGGGGUAGGGUCACCCCACCGCGUACCUAACCCAGGAAAACUCCUCUGCAGUGAUUUCAGAGGCUGUGUGCAUUUCUCUUGCCUCAAUGGGUAGAGUAAGUUUUUCUUCCUACUGUUUUUAGUCAGUUUUCUUAAUCUAGCGUACCUUGCGUAGAGAGCAGUCCACCUGUAACCAGUUUGUUCCUGGAGGUGCUGCAGUGACUUUGGUUACGCGAGGGCCCCGUGGCUCAGGAUGGGCUGAGGAAGGAGUGUGUGUGUGAGCAGUGGGCACUGGCCAGAGGCAGGGGAGGUGUGGCCACUUGUGGCUUAAACUCCCCCCAUGCGCUCUACUGCACCGCUGGGACGUGAACACUCUCGCCCUGGACGUUUUCUCUGAAUGCUCAGGGCCCAGGCUCUUGGGUACACAGGCGGCCCCGGGGUUUAUUUGAAAAAGUUGUCAUGAACAGUGAAGUAACCCACGUGCCUAAGCUUUGAUUGACAUGAAGGAAUGUAGAGGCUGCUGAAAUCCUGGUCAUUUUAGAACAAAGUAUUUUAUUAACAGUUUUCUGACAGAAAGAAAUCGUUAAAAAAUUGAUCCCUGUUGAGGUAGAAGGAUCUCGUCCUCAUGCUCCUCAGUUCUUUCCAGAAUCAGCUUCCAGUUCAGCUGCACAACAGGUUCUGCUAGUGGCUGGAGCAGCCCAGGCAGGUGCUGUUGGGUCUGAGUUCACACUGGUGCCCGUGUCGUCUCCAGUUAUGGUGUGGGCUGUGGGGUCUGAGUUCACAGCAUUGCCCAUGUGGUCUCCAGUUACGGUGCUGGCCAUGGAGUUUGAGUUCACACUGGUGCCUGCGUGGUCUUCAGUUACAGUGCUGGCCAUUUGUGCCUUUCUGGGAAGUUAGAAGGAGGAUGAUUUCUUCACCUCUCUGUCCUCCCACACCUGAUCUAUGCUGGGCCACCGUGAAUUCUUCUUUUUAACUGUUUCUCUCAUCACGGGCAACACUGAUGUUCUGUGGUCCACGUUUGCCUUUUCUGAAAACGGAUUCUGUGUUGCUUUAUAGAAUCACCUGGUCUCUUUUAUGAGUUUCGCUUUUCUUUAAGAAAAUAAUCUUCUUUAAUAAUCUUCUUUAAGAAAAUAAUCUUCUUUAAGAAAAUAAUCUUCAAUCUGAACUCUGUUCCCUGACACAGGCUCUUGCCAGCUCGAAAAUUAAAAGUAAUCUUUGAUUAUACUUAAUACUUUCUAAACUUUUCAAAAGUUUAUCAGCAUGUGGGUUACUGAACAUUGACUGUUUAUUUAAUGGAAAAUUACAUUCUAAGUAGAGUAUUAGAGUGAAAAUGAUCUUUUGAUUUUAUUAAAAUAUUCAGGUAAAAAUAUUAAAAUGCCUUCGCCAAACUUCAUGCCUGCAUAUCGUGAAAACAUUAAGCUGCUCUCUGCUCCCGGGAAUGCAUGAGUAGAGUAUGUGUUUGAAAGCGUCAUUCCAGUCUUAACUUUUAGGUAUUCUUAAAUGGGUAGGCUGGAGAAGUGACAUUUAGCAUUGAGUGAACGUUAGAUAAAGAUAUGUCUUGAUAAAAAAAUAGUUAAAAACAAUCUUUAGUGUUUCCUGUCGGGGUUCACCCAUUAAAGAAUGGUCUUGUAAAAAACUCAUUAAGAGUGUCGGCGCCCAGAGGUGCUACCUUGCCCACAGUUUUGUCACCUGCUGUCACCAGGCGACACGCCCAGCGUUUAGCUGCACGUCAGAUGUGGCCACGGGGCCACAGGGCAUCUCGGCAGAUGGAUGUUCUUAUGCAGAUUAAUGAGGAUGGGGACCGCUGCAGAACUGUAAGCCCCCCAGGGGCUGACGGAAGCCUGGGAACACCCGAGACACCAGAGUCGCUGCUGCCCUGGGUGGAAGGAUACCUGCCCUGGAAGAUGGGAAACGCAAUAAGGAGAAAGUACCAAGGCAGUGGCUCCCCACCUGUGAGUGGUCAGAAAGGUUCACGCAGUUUUCCAGGGCGGCCUUUGCAUUUACUGGAACUAUUAAGAGCUCGUUCCUGCUUCGGCGGCGAUUGACAUGCAGUGCGCGUGAGGCCGUGCGUGGCUUAGUGUCUUCUCUAGGCUUACAGACCUUCACAGGCUCCUAGGUCACACGUUUCAGUUUCUCAGCGAGUGACAUUCUCUGCGGAAGCCGUGUCAGCCUCUUGUUUGUUGAUGUCAGCCACAGCAGAAAGAAGCACUCCGUAGGCCCCGUGCUCAGCACCUUGGCGUGAGCUCUUGCAAUCUUCUGUUCAUGCUCAUCACAGCUCUGUGCAGUGGGCGUCCUCCUGAUCCCGGUGGGAGGAUGGAGGAUGGAGGCGGAACGGUGAGUGACAGCAGGAUCACAUGAGGGGUCUCUCCCGAGGUAGAGAGGGGAACCGGCCCAGAACCUCAGUGCCCAUUACGUCCUUCCUACUCCUCCUCUGCCUCUCUGUGACUGACUCAGGCUGCAGGGACAGACGUGAGUAUGUGCAGAGUGUGUGUGCACCCCUGGGGGUGUGUGCUCAUAUUGGCAGGGAGGGAUGUGAGUGUGUACAGAGCGUGUGUGCACACCUGGGCAUGUGUGCUGGCAUUGGCAGGGACAGAUGUGUACAGAGUGUGUGUGCACACCUCGGGGGUGUGUGCUGUUGGCAUGGACAGACGUGAGCGUGUACAGAGGAAGUGUACACACCUGGGGGUGUGUGCUGGUGUUAGCAUAGACAGACAUUAGCGUGUACAGGGCAUGUGUACACACCUGGGGGUGUGUGCUUAUGUUGUUUUGUAAGCGGCAAAUACGUGGCCCGAUGCUUCUGGCGGCCCUGCGCCCGUGCUGACUCCGUCAGUGGCUCUCGGGUUGGGGUCUCCAUCUCCCCAGACAGCACUCGAGUGGCUUGAGGUUUCAGAUUCUUCCUCUCCGGUUACUUGGGCCUCCUCAGACCAAACAUCAGAACCAGCCAACUGCAAACUACAAGAACAUUCAAAUGCAUCUUCAGUAGAGAAAACAAAAGCAAUUGGAAUAAUUUUCCAACAUGACCCCGUGGUUAAGCCGUUAGAUACUCCAGCUAACAGAUUGAGUCACUUUAAAAUUCACACCAAUUAAAAUGGUUGUGACAGUUGCAGAGCUUUACCGCUAAACCUUGAAAUAAUUGAAGAGUUCUGCUCCACUUGCUUACAAACUGGGGUUGGGGAUAACUUUCAGUCCAAAGUAGCAACCUUCUAAAACCAGCUUAGAUGCGAGGCUCCCACUCACACAGGAAGAGACAGUGGCCCUUGAUUAUUCUCCUGUUUCAGAUGCUUUGUCAUUUUUUUUUGUAUCCUGAUCAUCACUUCUGCUUUUCCAAUUCAAACUAAAGGGAGUUUAGUUCUGUUUUGGAGAAGCUGUGGUUAGUGGUUUCUUUUCAUGGUUUGCUUAAUCUCUUAAGUCUGGCACUUACAUUUACCCAAAUGGACUUUUCUUUAGUAAGACGGUGCCGUAGCCCAGGGCUUUUCCCUCCAUAUCUGCUCCCCAGGAGGCCCCCUAGGAAUGGGCGCUAGAGAUCCAGCCCCUCUCCGUGUGCCAUUUUCUUUGAGUCCAAUGUAGGUUUGGCUCAGAGAAGA